rnacentral:rRNA from 1 species
UGAGGAACAUGACCUUCGGCGGGGGAUAGCCGGCCCAACGGCCGGGUAAUACCGCGUACGACCACAUGGGGACAUCCCUGAGUGGUGAAAGCAGCAAUGCGCCGAUGGAGUGCCUCGCGGCCUAUCAGCUAGUUGGUGAGGUAACGGCUCACCAAGGCGACGACGGGUAGCUGGUCUGAGAGGAUGGCCAGCCACAGUUGGGACUGAGACACGGCCCAGACCUCGUACGGGAGG